ACUGGCUUAGCCUCUUCCUUGACAGGGGCAACAGGUGCGCCAGGGGCGGCGGCCUCCUCGGCCCGCACCACCAUCCUUCCGGAGUUGCGCCUUGACAUCAUCACUGCAGGUCGACAUUGAACUCUGCUAGGGAACAUCGACGAGGUGGCGGAUCCAGUAACAAUGGCGUUGGACACCACGCCCACGAAACUGGAAGCAGCGGUGGCCAUAUCCACAGAUGGGGUUACUACACAAGACAAGGCGAAUGGAUGCAACGCACAGGCUGAAGCCUGCGUGGGGAAAAAACAGACAGGAGAAGGGUGAAUGCUG
rnacentral:lncRNA from 1 species